GAACAGUGCCCGACCCCCUUUCUGUUCGCGUUUUUCUUCUUCUGCUAGGGCUCGCGACCACCGGCGGCGUCCCCUUCCUCCUUUCUUCUCCUCACCACCGGCCGGUGGCAUCUUUUCUUUCCUUGCCGCCGGCCGGCCAACUCUUUCUACUUUCUUCUCUUCUCAUCACUGUGCGCGUCUCUUCCCCGCACGCCGACGCCCCCUUUCCAUUUCUUCGCACGAUCUUCUCCGAUCCGACGACGACAACAACUCCGGCGGCCUCUGUGAGCGACGGCGACCUCAUCUUGGUGUUAUCUGACGGCGUAGUAUUCUUCUCCGGCGGUGAGUUCCCUUGUCUCUCGACCUUGUGCCGGCAGCCGACAUCUAGGGCUUCGGAGUGGUUUUCUUCCAGUGAGGCGUUUCCUCUCCGGUCCUACUGCAGAAGAUUCCCUCGCGGUUGUGGGUUGUAGAAGGAGGGAGUUUCCGGCGGUGCUUCUCCGAAGCUACACCAACCUUCAUCCCAAUUUUCGGCAGAACUCACUCACUGUGUGCUGUGGAGAUUUUCUGUGGAUGGCGUUCCGAAGCAGAAGAAUCAUCCAUUUCAUUGAGCAAUUCCAUUCCAAUUUCAGUCGGACACUACACUUCACCAUUCGUGAUCAGCGGUUAGUCAUGUGUUGCUGUCCACCUGUUAUGGUGUUCCAGAUCUGGGUCUCCGUGUGACGAUGGAGGUAGUCGAUUGGUGGUUGAUCACAAGAAGAGUGCUUAAUGCAAUCAUUUUCCAAGUUUAAUCCUUUGAACAGCAAUAUGAAAUUAUGGAAUUGGACACUGUAGAUGGAGAUUUUCAUACAGGAAAUUCAGAGUGUAACUUCACUCAAACCAUUAGGGAACAUGUGUAGAAGGGAAGACUUUAGAAUGAUCCAUAAGUUAAUGAAGUUUACUUGAUAAACGUGUGAACCAUUUGAAGUUGAAAUUGGAAAGGGCAGUGGAGAGGUUGAGAAAUUGUGUCAAAUGAGUACCAAAAUUUUGGAGCAGCACUAAGUCAUUGAAAAACUCAAGUGGAGCUCUUGUACUUUUAGUAACAAAUGGUAUGAUGUCUUACCAUGACCUCCAUGAAUUAUAUAUCUGAAUUUUAGAAGCUUGGAAUUAUUGAAACAGUGAAGGAAAAUUCAGAAACUGUGAAUUACUGAAACUGAAGUUAGAAAACUGUGGGUGACAGUGAGCAUGUAGUGCUACGAAGCAUGAAACUGGAAGCUGCUGUAAUGAGAAGUAAUUUGUUGCAAAUCAGAUAAAGUUUGGCGGCUUCAAUUUGGAAUCAAGUUGGAAUUUUCUCUGUCAUCUUUUGCUAUUAAGUCUUUAAAACUCCAUCGAGCUUAAUCCCAUAUCUAAUCUGAUCUCAGAAAAAAAAAAACUCUGUCAGCAGAGUUUGUCAAGGCAGAAUUUGGUGCCAAAAUGUUUAUGUUAUUUUUGGAUAGUAAUAAUCUUACCAAGUGUUUCAGUUCAUGAUGGAGAACAGUGGCAAAAAGGGAGCAAGAGCUGAAUGAAUGGCAGUCUUUGACAAUGACAAUUUCAAUUAAAGCUCAACUUCUGCACGACUCAAUGCCUGCAACUUCUUUGGACCUGAUUUCUCGGCUGUGAUUCUGAAACUUGUUGAGCUAAGUUCAUUAAAAAUUAUUGAUGGAAUGCAUACUCUUCUUGCUGAUGCUGAGGAAACUCAGGAAUAAAUUGCAUUACAUAAAACAUAAUCUGUAUCAACUCUUGUCUGCCACAUAGCUCUUGUGAUUCUUAAAUCAGUGAAAUGCUCAAAAAUCAGGUUUUGAUGCUGGAAGAGUGAAAAGAUAUAUUAGAUUGAAGAGAUGAUGGAUUUUCAGAAAUGAAGAGAGAAUUGUUUAAGAGAUGAUGAAUUAUAUCUCUCUCAUUAGCAAAUAGUGAAGAUUAAAAUGUGAGUUUUACAUGGAUAGAUGUGUAUGUUAUGGACAGAUAAUAAAAAUUCUGAAACUGAAGAUUGAAGUAGCAAGGUUUAGGAAUCAGUUUAAUGUCUGAAAUUUUCAGAAUUGUUUAUACACCUGUUUCCUGGAGUUCUAAAUUACAGAAACUUCCUAAGCAGAGUAUGGAAUUGAUUUCCAAAUGGCUGGAACUAUUUUACUGAUUUUAAAUCUUUGAGAUCUAAAGUCCUAAAUCUGAAACCUGUUGCUGCUGUAAGUUGAUUUUCUGAAUUCUAAAAAUCAGUGUAUUAAAUUCUUAUCAGCAGUUUUUGAAAUUAGUGAGACAGUCACGUGAAGCCUUGGAAAUUUCAGAAACGGAAGCAAAAACAGUGAGAAUUGCAACUGUUGGUUAUCUGAUCAUUAUGGAUCAAGAUUUAAAAUUUAAUUGAUGAGUACCAUUCCACUCAUGAAGCGGUUCAGAAGGUAAUAUGAAUUCUGAGAAUUUGAAGUUGGAAGCUGCAAUUGGGAGUUAGGUUCAGAAAUGCAAUGCAGUAAGGCAGCACAGAAUUCAGUUUUAGGUGUUGUAUCAAAUGUGUAUCAAUUUUUAUCACCAGCUCUCAAAUAGUGAGGAAAAAUAGAGGAGCUUUGGCAUUCAUAGUAACAAAUGGAGUUCAUUUAUUUCCAUGUUUUCUACAAUUGGAUGGAAUUGAUUUAUGAUUUCUGAAAUACUCAAAUUGCUGAAAUGAAUUCUGCUGGAAGCCGCUGUUUGCUUUUAAAUGGUUGAAAAUAGUUCUGUUUGGUUGCUUUAAUGCAACAACAUGAAAUAAUCUUAUCUUCCAGCUAACCAAGGGAUGAGUUCUAAUUACAAAAGAGGGAAACAGCAAGAAAUGCAGCUGGAAGUGAAGCUGAAAACCAUAAUUCUGAAACUGAAUUCUGUUUUCAAGAAAGUUCAGUUUUGUGCCAAAGUUUUCUUGAUGUUUCUAAUCUGAAAUGAAUGGAAUUCAAUCUCCUCUUGAUUCAAUAUCAAAUGAGCUAUCUUCCAAAGCUAAAUUUGCUGAAAAUUUUACUAAAAUGACCUUGUAUCAAAAUCUUGAGACUGCAAGGUAGAUUCAGAAUUGAAACUAGUCUUAUUUUAAAAUUUCUAUUUGGGCCUGAUUUUUCUUUGUAUUUAGCUGUGAAUUCAUUCCAUUGGAUUCUUAGUUUCUGGAACAAGUAGUAAAGUGAAUUAUAAGAUGCUAGAGUUGAAGGAAUUAGCUGGGACUGAAGUUGAUAACACAACUAAUACUAUCUCAGUGCAGAAAUGGUAUCAGUAUGAAAUGCUGUUUUUAUUGGAGAACAAAUCUGCUGUUUCCUUAACUACACUAAACAUAGGAAAACAUCUUUGAGCUGAGUGAGAAACAAGUGCUAAAGGCAAAUGAAGAAACAGAUUUUAAAAGCUAUUAUUGGGAGUUAUAUUCACAAAGCAGUAAAGGCAUUAAGUUGAAAGACAGAAUUCAGUUUUCGAGUUGUAUCAAUUGCGUACGAAUCUUUUAUCACCAUCUUUCAAAAUAGUGAGGCAGAACAAUUAAACUCUUGUAUUAUCUGUAACAAAUGGUUUUCAUCUCUUUCUAUGACUCCUCAAAAUGUAUGGAAUUAAUAGAGGAUUUAUGAAACUCUCAAGCUGCUGAAAUGCAGAAACAGUGAUGUGUUAGAGCUACUGGUAACUUGAUCAAGAAUAAAAAUUUGAACUAUAAUUGGGGAGUACCAUUCUAUUCAUGAAGCACUUCAAGAUGGUAUCAUAAACUUAAGUGCAGCUGCAAAUAAGAAUGGAUCAAGGAACUGAAACUGUAACAGAAAUGAAAGGCUGCUGGAAUUGAGCUGCACAUUGCUACUGCAUGGAAGUCAGAAGCUAAUCACAUUUAUUAAGAGACAUAUGUUGUAGAAGAGAUUUGGGAAUGUUAAGGAAAUCAAAUGAAGCUUAAUCUGAAAUAAGAACUCUUGUGAAAUAUAGUGGGUUGUGGGGAGUUUGUAUCAAAGUUGUAUCACAAUUCAAGAGUAGAAUUCAAAUCAGUUAUGAUCUCAAGUGAAACUCUAUUAAUUUCAGUAACAAAUGGUUUCUCAUUUCAUUCCAUGGCUUUUCAAACUGAAUUUUGUGGAAACUAGAAGCAUCAAGUAUAUGAAAAUAGAAGAUUUGAAGCUGCAGAAUUAGUGGUUGACAUGCUGGAAAUCUGAAUAGUAUGGAUCAAGAUUCAAAAUUGAUUUAAUAGAGUAGACUGUUAGAGAGUUGCUGAUAUGCAUAUAUGAAGUACUAAUGGUAAUUGAAAGGAAGUUAAUGGAAGUAACUCGAACUCUGAACUCUAAAAUUUGUCAAAACAGAAUAGCAGUGAGUAAUUUUAAGUAGAGAACUUGACUUCCACAGCUAUUUGAUGUUUCAACACGCUCAACUAUGCUUUAGUUUAAUUCUUUCUUACCAAUGAAGUGCAAAUGAGGAAACAAAAUUUCGGAAUUGAAACGAGUGACAGAAAUGCUGGAAUGCAGUUUGGACUUUGAAAGAGUUGUACCAAUCAGUGAAAAUGAUACUCUGAGCUGAGAUAAGUAAAUUUUAGUUCUUGUUAAUUGCUUGCUAAAUGAAGAAUCAACCUGGGAAUUCUGUAACUCUGAAAACAAGUUGUGACAGUUCUCUUACAAGUAAUUUUCAGAAAUCAGGUUUGUGAUGAAUUUUGGGAGGUUGCUGGAUGGUGCACCAGUGAAGAAAUUGUGAGAAGUUUUUGUUGAUUUGAAGGGAGUUCUGAUUUUCCAGAAAUUAAAAGAAUUAGAAACUGAUAGAGCUCUAGAUAGAAGACCAAUGAAGUUGUAAAAUGAGGUAUCGGCAGCAACAAGCUUGUUCUGAGAUGAUCAGAAAUAGUAUCAAAUCUGCAUAUUUGAAACUGUUUUAUUAACUUAGAGUAAUAUUAUUGAGUUUUAUUGCUUGAGAUGAUCAAAGUUUUAAGUGUGUGUUUGACAUUUGGUAAGCUUCUUUGAAUGUGAUUUCUGAAUUAAUUGUAUUGUGUGA